rnacentral:ncRNA from 23 species
CUCUUAUUAAGAGUUGGCGGAGAUACAAGGAUCUGUGAUGCCACGGCAACCCCCGAUUAUGAUGGAAGGUGCCCACCGGAGCAAUGCAAUAUUGAUCAAUAAGAG